UACGGAGGGUGCGAGCGUUGUCCGGAAUCACUGGGCGUAAAGGGCGCGUAGGCGGUGCGAGGCGCGUGCGGUGAAAGGCCGGGGCUCAACCCCGGCUCGGCCGUGCGGGCGCUCGCGCUGGAGCACUGUAGAGGCGGGCGGAAUUCCGGGUGUAGCGGUGGAAUGCGCAGAGAUCCGGAAGAACACCGGUAGCGAAGGCGGCCCGCUGGGCAGUGGCUGACGCUGAGGCGCGACAGCGUGGGGAGCAAACAGG
rnacentral:rRNA from 1 species